CCUACGGGAGGCAGCAGUGGGGAAUCUUCCGCAAUGGGCGAAAGCCUGACGGAGCAACGCCGCGUGAUCGAAUGAAGGCCUUCGGGUUGUAAAGAUCUGUUGACAGGGACGAAUAAGCAAUGCGAAUAGUUUUGUGUAUGACGGUACCUGUUUAGACAGCUCCGGCUAACUACGUGCCACCAGCCGCGGUACUACGUAGGGAGGAAGCGUUGUCCGGAAUUACUUGGCGUAAAGGUCGCGUGGGUGGGCGCUUAAGUCAGGUGGGAAAAAUGAGGGCUAAACCGGGAGACUGCACUUGAAAUGGGGUGUCUAGAGGGCAGGAGAGGAAAGGGGACUUCCUAGUGUAGCGG
rnacentral:rRNA from 1 species